rnacentral:rRNA from 1 species
UACGUAGGUGGCAAGCGUUGUCCGGAUUUAUUGGGUUUAAAGGGUGCGUAGGCGGGUAUUUAAGUCAGAGGUGAAAGACGGCCGCUCAACGGUCGCAGUGCCUUUGAUACUGGAUAUCUUGAGUGCAGACGAGGUCUGUGGAAUGGAUGGUGUAGCGGUGAAAUGCUUAGAUACCAUCCAGAACACCAAUUGCGAAGGCAGCAGACUAGGGUGCAACUGACGCUGAGGCACGAAAAGUGCGGGGGAUCAAAACAGG